UUCGGUUUUGUGUUCAAAUAAUUACUGAUUAAUUUAGUUCAAUAAUUGAACUUCAAUUGUUUUCCUUCAUUGAUUAAUUGCUGAUUAACCUUUUUAAUCUUAUUUCUAGUUAAUUGUUCUCUGUUUCUGUUUAAGGAUGAAUGAACACUUUAGAGGUCCAAAGGAUUCCAUUGAUUUACUUAAUCGCGCCUUCGCUGAGAUUGGAUUGGAUUUACCAACUAUUCAAUCAGGAUGAAUUCAAUUGAUGACGAUGAUACAUUCCUGUUCACCUCUGAAUCUGUGGGAGAGGGACAUCCAGGAAACAAAUAAUUAUGAAACGUGUACUCACUAUACCUGAACGAACCCAUGGUUCGGGUCCUGUGUUCAUAAUUUGGCAGCCGAAUAAAGCAAGUUACCUGGUUACAAUGGGCUAUGAUAAUACGGUGAUAGUUCAUGAUUGACAUGGAAAUAAAAUCGAUACAAUUAAUUUACCAGGUCAGUGUACUGGACUUUCAUGGAAUGUUGAAGGUAAUAUUUUAGGUGCAAUUAGUGGUAAAUCACCGAUAAUUUACCUUUGGGAUUCGAGUGUCCAUAAGAUGUCUAGAGUUGACACCGAUGUUCGUGACAUGUUAACCAUGUUGGUUUGGUCAAAAAAAGAUCAUCUUCUUGCCGUUGGAACGAGUAAAAGAAAUUUAAAGGUUAACCUUCAUUUUUAACCUUUACCACAAUUCAACCUCGAGAUACAAUUAAUUCAUCGACAGGUAAUAAUUGUGUUAGUCUAAUUCUCAAUAAGAAGAAUCUAUUUCUCCUGAGAUUAACUGACAUGGGAAUCUUUAUAUCAUGAGUUUCAUGAUAUUUGAAUCGAAUAAGUUGAAGCUGCUUUGGAAUUGGUUGAUGACCAUGAAUUACACAUUGAAUGUGAUUCUAUAUUGGAAUCGUUGAAACUUUAUUCAGAAGCUACUCAACUUUAUGAACAGGGUGGUGAUGGUGAAAAAGUGGCUAAAUUAUAUUUGUCCGUUCGAAAUACACUAAAAGUUGGACAAUUGAUCGAUAAGUUUUCCUUAACUAAUGUUGAUAUUCUUAAUCAAUAUGGCCGAAUCAAGGAAAGUCAAGGUGAUUACAAAGAAGAUGUUAAAGCUUAUCUAAGCUCUGGAUUAACGAUUGAUUCGGUUCGUCUUCUUCUCGAUAAGCUUAAUCCAAGUGAAGCCGUUAGAUUGGUAAAAGAUUCUGGUAGUUUAGAAGGAGCUAAAAUGAUCGCUUGAUUUUCCAAAAGAUCAACGAUAUCGAAUCUGCGAUUAAAUUUCUAAUCCUUUCCAAGUGUACCGAUGAAGCUUUUAAAUUAGCAACUUCAACAGGUAAUGUUGAUAUUUUCGCUAAUUUCUUACUUGAUUUAACUGAUUAGCAACAAUCAAAAAACAAUGAACCAUCACUAUUAAAUCACAACCAUCAAUAUAAUCAAUAUUUUCCAGGCUAUUAAAUCGUGAACCCGUUUGUCCAAUGUGUGGAUCGACAAUUGAUAUUAAACAAUUGGAAACCAUUAACGAUAUUACCAAGUAUUAAACCCAGAGCAUGAUAAUUAAAUCAUUAAACUAAUCACAAAUUGCUCAACAACAACAACAACAAAGUUAAUUGUUAAUUUGGAAUUUUAUACAUAAAAUUGAAAACAUUAAACUGAUCACAAUUAAUAAGAAAAAAUAACAAUCCCAAACAAAAAGAGAUUCAUUUUCAAUCAACAAUUAAAUCCUUAUAGAAAUCAUAUAAAAAACAGAACCAAUUUAAUUGUUACAAUAAAAUUUUCUAAUUUAAUUAAAUUGUUCAAAAUGAGCAAAAAUCAAAUAUUAUAACAAUUAGGAAAGUUUUUUAUUCCACAAUCAGUUGAUUAUAAAUUCAGUUCUAUGAUUA